ensembl:snoRNA SNORD31 Small nucleolar RNA SNORD31
UGAGUAUAUGAUGAACCAUUUACCGCCCCAGUCUGAUGCUGGUGACUGACUGGUACUUUCUGAUGCUCG